rnacentral:rRNA from 1 species
GUUGUCCGGAAUUACUGGGCGUAAAGGGUGCGUAGGCGGUCUGAUAAGUCAGGUGUGAAAUACCAGGGCUCAACCCUGGGGGUGCACUUGAAACUGUCGGGCUUGAGUGCAGGAGAGGAAAGCGGAAUUCCUAGUGUAGCGGUGAAAUGCGUAGAUAUUAGGAGGAACACCAGUGGCGAAGGCGGCUUUCUGGACUGUAACUGACGCUGAGGCACGAAAGCGUGGGUAACGAACAGGAUUAGAUACCCUGGUAGUCCACGCCGUAAACGAUGGAUACUGGGUGUAGGGAGGUAUUAACCUUUCUGUGCCGUAGUUAACGCAAUAAGUAUCCCGCCUGGGGAGUACGUGCGCAAGCAUGAAACUCAAAGGAAUUGACGG